GACGAACGCUGGCGGCGUGCCUAAUACAUGCAAGUCGAGCGAGCUUGCCUAGAUGAAUUUGGUGCUUGCACCAAAUGAAACUAGAUACAAGCGAGCGGCGGACGGGUGAGUAACACGUGGGUAACCUGCCCAAGAGACUGGGAUAACACCUGGAAACAGAUGCUAAUACCGGAUAACAACACUAGACGCAUGUCUAGAGUUUAAAAGAUGGUUCUGCUAUCACUCUUGGAUGGACCUGCGGUGCAUUAGCUAGUUGGUAAGGUAACGGCUUACCAAGGCAAUGAUGCAUAGCCGAGUUGAGAGACUGAUCGGCCACAUUGGGACUGAGACACGGCCCAAACUCCUACGGGAGGCAGCAGUAGGGAAUCUUCCACAAUGGACGCAAGUCUGAUGGAGCAACGCCGCGUGAGUGAAGAAGGGUUUCGGCUCGUAAAGCUCUGUUGGUAGUGAAGAAAGAUAGAGGUAGUAACUGGCCUUUAUUUGACGGUAAUUACUUAAAAAGUCACGGCUAACUACGUGCC
rnacentral:rRNA from 1 species